rnacentral:rRNA from 1 species
UACGAAGGGGGCUAGCGUUGUUCGGAAUUACUGGGCGUAAAGCGCGUGUAGGCGGGUCUUUAAGUCAGGGGUGAAAUGCCAAGGCUCAACCUUGGAACUGCCUUUGAUACUGGAGACCUUGAGUCCGGGAGAGGUGAGUGGAAUUGCGAGUGUAGAGGUGAAAUUCGUAGAUAUUCGCAAGAACACCAGUGGCGAAGGCGACUUUCUGGCCUAUAACUGACGCUGAGGCGCGAAAGCGUGGGGAGCAAACAGGG